GGGCCAUUAGCGCAGACAGGUAGCGCAGCAGAAUGCGAGUAGUCUCUGGUCGCACGGCUGAAGCUUUUAACCUGAAGGUCGGGGGUUCGAAGUAAAAUUCCAUUUCGGAAUUUUCUGAAAAUCCCCCAUGGCCCGCCA
rnacentral:tRNA from 1 species